rnacentral:lncRNA from 1 species
GAGCAAAAUGACGCACAGGUUCAGCUUCCAGUGAAAAUAUCGAGAGCUGCUGUUCAGCACUCCCAAAAUCUCGAAGAUGAUGAGUUCAAACAUAGUACAAGAGAAGGCAAAAGUCACUGAGAAGAUGACUUGGACAACAUACUGUCGCACCUCAUAAUCCUUGAAGAGCUUGCGCAUGAAGAACAGCCAUCCAAAUCCAAAGAAGAGCACCUGGGAGGUGACCAUGAUGCUGGAAUCGAUGAGGAAACUCAUGGCGGGCCCCGCGCAGCAGCGAACAACCAGCCCGCGCUCGCGCUGCUGUUUGCAGUGCGCAGGCGCAGGGCCCGGCGCAACGCCCUCCCCGUGGCGGAGCCGGGGCGAGGAGCGCCGCCCUUCCCGCGCACAGAGCGGCCCCUGAAGGGUUGCGCCCCGCCCCGCCCCGCGUCGCCGUCUCCUCAGUGUGUUGUCUUGGAAAGGCGGCGCACUGAGUACGUUUGUAAUAACGGUAAUAAAAAUAAUGAAAACAAACAGGUUUCGCUCGCGUUUUUCCUCAGUGUCCCACGAAAAUGGCUGCUCUAGGGAAGUGGAAAAAGAGCCGGGCUGGAGGCAGCCGUGGAGGAGGCUCAAGCAACUGGUGAGCCAAGGAGCAGGGACCUGCUGGCAGUGUGGUGAAUGGCUAAAGCCAUGGUGUUUGGUGCUCGUACACUGCCAUGACCCCUUCAUAAGAGCAGGGCAGGACGUGUGCCAGCACCGUGCAGGGAAGCAAGGCCUGCAUGGCUGCCAGGCGCCAUCUCGCACCUUGGGCCCUUCCUGCCCUCUGCAAAGGCAGCCAGCCAGGGGCAGCUUUCAGGCCUUUGUGACUGUCUUGUAUCAAGGAAUGGGGCCAGAAGGGAAAUGAAAGUUCAAACAGGGAAUUUCCUGGUAACUAUCAGUGUGAGACUCAAUCCUUCAUGUCGCAACCCUGCCCGCAUUUGAACUUAGUGGUGUCUGUAUCUUUUUUUCGCCAUUAAAAAUACACCUAACCUUUGCCACACCUUUGACUGCAUCUAGAAUGAUAAAUCACAGGGGAAGUGAGAGAAUAAAGCGGAACUAGUCAGGACUUCAACAACGCACAAACCUCUUGCUGAGUGAAAAUCAGGAUCCUUUAUUCAUUACAACUCAUUUCACUAGAAAAAACGAUACUACAUGUGGUUGUGUUGAGUCAUCGGAUUAGUCCCACAGUCUCUUUGAUAGUUUGGCUUUCUAUCUUGCUGUCAGUCAUCAUGUUUUGAAAUCUGUCUCCUUGUCUACAGCAUUGCAAAGACAAAAAAAGCCAUUCAGUUUUCAUGGGCAAAUGAACUGAGGGAGCAAAUUACUGUUUCUGAUCUGAGGCCCUCUUUUACAGCUUCUGGUAUUGCUGCCAAUUAACACUGAGCUGAGAUCAGAGCUUCCCUCCC